UUUUUUUUUUUUUUUUAAGAUUUUAUUUAUUUAUUCAUGAGAGACACAGAGAGAGGCAGAGACAUAGGCAGAGGGAGAAGCAGGCUCCCUGUGGGGAGCCUGAUAUGGGACUUGAUCCCAGGAACCCCAAGAUCGCACCCUGAGCUGAAGGCAGACGCUCAACCACUGAACCACUGAGGUGUCCCCUUACUUCAGUUUUUAAUACACCUGGGUACUAGACUUGCUUUCAGUGUUGCUUUCCCAGACCAAGUCAGAUCUUGAUUUCUGGCAAUUGAUUCAUGCUAAAAUCUAUUAUUCCUAGAAAUCCCUAAAAACAGAUCCCACAUUUCUCCAAACUAGGCCCCUGGAUACUGCUCAGGAAAAAAAACAAAAAAACAAAAAAAAAAACACUUCAUGCUCUGGACUUGAAUUACUUUGCUGUGCCACCUACAGUGAGGGCCACCCCUGUCUAUUGCAAGUUACAAUCCCUCUCCCUGCUCCCACUAGGUUGUAUGCAGAUUUCUGUGUAUUGUAUUUUCUUUCUAGAUACUCUUUGAAUACUAUAUGAUUAGUACUGUCUGGAAGAGUUUGGACAAGUCAGUAAGUUUUUUUUGUCUUGAUUUCAGAGCAUGUAUAUCUUUGUACCUUAUAAGAAAUAUUCAUAUCUUGUUUUUUGAGUCAGAGGUGAUCAUUUGAUCUAAGAAUACACAUUUAAUACUAUAUAGGUUCAAUAUUAAGAAUAAGAAAAUAACAAGAUAAAUAAGACACAAUUCCAGCUUUCAGAGAGCCUUCAGGCUAAUAACGGAGGAGACAUACAUUUACAAAGUAAUUAUAUUUACCAAAUAGAAAAUUUGUAUAUCACUGGCUUUGAUAGCAUAUUAUGAUAUAUUAAGAUGACACACGACAGUUUUCUUUAAUGGACUGGCUAAGCAUCUAUUCAUAGAUAAAUGACAUCAAAGUGAAUAAUCUUAGUGUACCAAUCCAAUUAGCCAUGACUAACUUUCUAAGGACAAACCUAGUUAACUUGCAUGGGCAGGGGGAGGGAGGCCAGGGGCAUUGCUAAUUCUUAUUAAAGAAAAAAAAGGAAUGAGGAGGACUGCUUAUUUCCUAGAGACGAUUUUAUGAUUCUUCAUGUAUGUGAUAUGCAAGUAAUGUAGUAUACAAAUGCUAUCACCUUCAUAAAAUUAGAAAGCAAAUACAGCUUAUAUUUGAUAUUAUUGUUUUGUCUUUAAAAAGACCUUCUCUCCUAGAGUCCCCGGAUUGAGUCCCAUAUCGGGCUCCCUGCAUGGAGCCUGCUUCUCCCUCUGCCUGUGUCUCUGACUCUCUGUGUGUCUCUCAUGAAUAAAUAAAAUCUUUAAAAAUAAAUAAAUAAAUAAAAUAAAAAGACCUUCUCUCUAGUCAUCCAGCAUCCUAAAGUUCUGUCUAUUGCCACUUUCUCUCCAACCGAACCAACUUGCUCAUAAGUGCCUACAAAUAUUCUUCCUAUAUUUAGGGACUUUUUGACCUUAUGAAUCUGCAGAUCCCUAAAGUUCAACCUGACAUCUCAGUCUCUCUUGCAGCUAGGGCACAGGUAUGAGACUUUUCUCUAAACAGACAAAUCCAUGUGAUUUGAAAGCACAAAGAAGGGGUGGCACAAGGAAUCCACUCUGGCAAAGGUGGCAGCAGAAAUAUACAGCUUUAAAAAAAGAAAGAAAAGAAAUAUAUGGCUUUUAGAAACUUAGAAGAGAUUCUAGUUUCUUGUUCCCAAUGUUAAAAGUGGAUUUAUGGUGUCUGUGUCCAGAGAUGAUGACAGGUGAGAGUUCACUGAAGUUCAAUUCUAGAGUGAAAUUUAUGUGUAGUUUCUAGUUGUGUAAGGAAUGCACUAGGAAGUUUAAUGUUUGACCAACAGGUAUUCCGAAAGAGAAGAGAAAAACUGUGUAGAAAAUGAUGAGAAAGUAACAUAAGAAAAAUUUUUAGUACCAAAGAACAUGAGUUUUUAGAUAGAAAAAGCCUUUGGAAUACCUAGUACAAGGAAUGUAUAUAUUUUAAAAAGCCACGAAUAUACAACAUCAAAUUUCAAAAUUCCAUGAGCAAAGAGAAGAUUCUAAAGCUUCUGGAGAUAAUAAAAAAUCACGCACCAAGGAUCAGAAUCAGAAUAACACCACAUAUGUCUGGCAAUGUUGAACAUAAGAAACCAAUGGAAUAAUACCUUCAAAUUUUGAAGAAAACUGAUUUUCAUUCUGAAACCUAUAACCUGUUAAACUGUCAGUCAAGGGUGAGAUUAGAAUAAGACAUUAUCUGACAUGCAAGGUGUCCAAAAUUUUACUUUCUACUACUUUUUUUCCUAGGGAAACCACUAAUGGAUGUACACUACCAAAAUAAGGGAAUUAAACCAAUGUAGAUGAUGUAGGAUCCAGAAACAGAGGGCCCAACACAUAAAAGGGUUGACGGGAAAUCUCAGAUAACAACCAUGUAUGCAGUCAAGAGAGUAACAGGGCACCCGGGUGGCUCAGUCAGGUGAGCGUCUGCCUUUGGCUCGGGUCAUGAUCUCAGGGUCCUGGAAUCCAGCCCCACACUGGGCUCCCUGCUCAGCGGGAGUCUGCCUCUCUCUGCCCCUCUGCCCCUCCUCUCCUUUCGUGCUCUAAUAAAUAAAUAAAAUCUUUAAAAAAGAGAGAGAGAGAGAGAGAGAGAGAGAGCGCAACAGUCUAGAUUCCCAUAGGAUGGGGGAAGCCUCCGGGAGAGAGGUCUCUGAUUAAUAAAAACAACAGAAAUACAUCUAAUCGAUUCCUGAUACAUUUGGUUACCUAGAAAAUAGUACAGAGAGGGAUUUUAGAGUCGUUAAAGAAUCUGGAAGACAUGAAACAAUUAUCUCAUUAAAAAAAUAUACAAGCCUAGACUUCCACUCUGAAAUGGGAAGAGAACUAGUAAUUAUGAAGCCUGAAGUAGAAGAGUGAUAAAAACACAAAAAUUAUUGAAAUAGAAAAUCAGUAUAACAACAACAACACAUUACAUGAUAGAGAAGACUGUAUCCUUUACCUGGAUAAUUUUAAUGAGGUAAUGGGGAUACACGGCAUCACAAGUAUCCAAUGUGUCUACUAAUUCAAUCAAGGUAGAUCGAUAUCGAGUACAUUUAAAUAAAGGAACCAAUGUUUUCCCCUUCUUGUCUGAAAUAAUUAAACUGAGAACCACUGAAUAUUCAUUAACUUUAAAGAGCAGUAGUGAAAAAAGCCAGUAAGCAGCACGCUGGGAACUAUAACAUACUUAGAUGUUUAAAUAAUUUCUUCAAUAAAGGUAUCUGGAGAUUAUGCCAUAUAGUGGUAGUGACUAUCACUGUAGUUUGCUAACAUGAAUAUUUUCUACUAACAUCAGUAAGAAAUCAGAAUUAUAAAUAAAAUUUAUUUCUUAAAAAGGUAAGCUCCAGAGAGGCUUAGACACAAAACGAAUUUAAGAGAAAGAGGGGAGGAUGCCUGGGUGGCUCAGUUAGUGUCUGCCUCUUGAUUUUGCCUGGAGUCAUGAUCUCAGGGUUGACAUUUGAGCCAUGUGUGGGGCUGUGUGCUGGGUAUGGAACCUGCUUAAGAUUCUCUCUCCAUCUCCCUGUGUCCCUCCUACCUGCUCCCUCUCUAAAAAUAAAAAUAAAAGGAAGAGGGAAGGGAAAAUAGUUUGCUAGCUUGCUUUUUAAGAUUUUAGUUGGUGAAAAACAAAACAUGCAACAUUUAAUGAGAGAAAGUACUAGGACAAAUUCUCUUAAACAUUGUUAUAAACAACAUUUACUUAAACAUAGACAACGUGAGCAUUUUAAACCCAAGGAACUUGGAGGUUGCAUGGUAGAAAUCACAUUCAUCACCCCUGCAGUAUCCAGGUUGGCUGGGGUUCUGUCUCUAAACUCCAUUCUGCCAAGUAAAGCAGCUAGUCAGUACUGGUAAUUAUAGCUACAAUGGCUGCUCAAUGCAAUUGAUUCCUGUGUGUGGCUACCUCCACAUUCCUCUGCAAUGAUGGGUGUCACUACAUUUUAAAUUAUUAACAUUAGUAAGGAGAACAGAGUGUUUCAAAGGACUUGUAACAGUAUGUAAACAGUGAUAUUUGUGAAGAAAAGUGGAUUAACAAAAGAGAAAUUUGCAAAGUAUAAUGAUAAUGGCAGGGAAUACUUCUGAAAUUAUGCCCUCAUUUCCAUAAAUAAGCUACCCUAAUGUUUUCUGUUAAAAUGAGGACUUUUCCUUAAAGGGUCAUAGCAAAAAAGAAGAAAAUAAAAGUAGAAUAGAUUUUCGGCCGGAAAGUCAAAUGGAAGAAAUUAAAUUUAAGAACUGCCUUAUUCUUACUUAUCUUCAUAGACAUUUUAAUAUAGCAUAUGCAUUUUAUACAUAUAAGAAGAUAAAAUCCUUACAGUCUUCUCAACCUAGCUUAUAAAUUUCAAGAUACUUAAUGGAAGGGAAAUAGAAUCCUUCUUAUUUCCUGGACCAAAUCCAAUCUCUCAAACUGGAUAAAAAGAAUUUGAGAUAAGAAAAUAACUUGCCAAAGAAAACAGAGAGAAAGAUGUCUUGCGUUCUGCCAAAUAGAGGAUAUGCUAUCAAGAAUGAAACAAGAGACUUGCUAAAACUUUGAAACAAAUCAAACUGCUACUGCUUGGUAUGGGGAUGAACAUGGGAAAAUAAAAUCCUUGUAUGCACGGUAAGAAGGGAAAACCCCAAAUGUUGCUUGCUCACAUGCUCCUAAGAAUAAGUAAGUCAUAUUUCCAACGUAAUGUUCACGGUAACAUUUUCCACAUUUAAGAACAGGGUGUUGGAAAAAGGCCAAAGAAAAGCAAAAAUAACAACAAAGGGGUAAAAAAUAAGAACUUAGGUUGCAAUUUUGUGCACAAAAUAUAUUUCAAAUUUUGAGUCCAAAUUAAAGAAAUGAUUUGGGCUUGAGAAAAAAGUCUAUGGUGGUUAUAAUUUUUAAACAAAAAAGACAGGGGCAAAUAGAAAACUGCACCUAGAAAUAGAUAAGCCAUUUAAUAUCUCCUGAAAGAAAAAAAAAAAAGCAAUGGAAACAAUACAUAGUCUAAGCUAACAAGAGGUUGUGAAUGAUUGGAACCCAAUAGUUAGC
rnacentral:lncRNA from 1 species